GUUCAAAUGAGGAAGGGCUUAUGGUGGAUACCUAGGCCCCCAGAGAUGAGGAAGGGUGUGGUAAGCGACGAAAUGAUUCAGGGAGUUGAAAAUGAGCAUAGAUCCGGAGAUUCCCGAAUAAGUUAACCUUUUUAACUGCUGCUUAAUCCAUGGGCAGGCAAGAGACAACUUGGAGAACUUAAACAUCUUAGUAGCUAGAGGAAUAGAAAGCAAAAGUGAUUCCCAUAGUAGUGGCGAGCGAAAUGGGAGCAGCCUAAACCGUGAAAAUAAGGUUGUGGGAGAGCACAAUAUAAGCUCUAUGCUGCUAGGCGAAGCGGUUGAGUCAUGCACCCUAGAUGGUGAGAGUCCAGUAGCCAAAAGCAUCAUUGGGUUACGCUCUAACCCGAGUAGCAUGGGGCACGUGGAAUCUCGUGUGAAUCAGCAAGGACCACCUUGCAAGGCUAAAUACUCUUGGGUGACCAAUAACAAAGUAGUACUGUGAGGGAAAGGUGGAAAGAACCCCCAUCGGGGAGUGAAAUAGAACAUGAGACCGUAAGCUCCCAAGCAGUUGGAGGAAAAUGAUAUCUCUGACCAUGUGCCUAUUGAAGAAUGAGCCGACGACUUAUAGGCAGUGGCUUGGUUAAGGGAACCCACCGGAGCUGUAGCGAGAGCGAGUCUUCAUGGGGCAAUUGUCAUUUCUUAUGGACCUGAACCUAGGUGAUCUAUCCAUGACCAGGAUGAAGUUUGGGUGAAACUAAGUGGAGGUAUGAACCGACUAAUGUUGAAAAAUCAGUGGAUGAGUCGUGGUUAGGGGUGAAACGCCACUCAAACCUAGAGCUAGCUGGUUCUCCUCGAAAUGCAUUGAGGCGCAGCAGUUGACUGGACCAUCUAAGGGUAAAGCACUGUUUCGGUACUGGCCGUGAGAGCGAUACCAAAUCGAGGCAAACUCUGAAUACUAGAUUGCCCCAAUAAAAGGAGUAAAGGUCAGCCAAUGAGACGAUGGGGGAUAAGCUUCAUCGUCAAGAGGGAAACAUCCUAGAUCAUCAGCUAAGGCCCCUAAAUGACCACUCAGUGAUGAAGGAAGUAUGAGUGCAAAGAUAGCCAGGAGGUUUUCCUAGAAGCAGCCAACCUUGAAAGAGUGCAUAAUAGCUCAUUGAUUGAGCGCUCUUGCACCGAAGAUGAACAUGACUAAGUGAUCUGCCGAAGCUGUGGGAUGUAAAAAUACAUCGGUAGGGGAGCAUUCUGCCUCAGAGGGAAGCACUGACGCGAGCAGGUGUGGACGAAGUAGAAGCGAGAAUGUCGGCUUGAGUAACGCAAACAUUGGUGAGAAUCCAAUGCCCUGAAAACCUAAGGGUUCCUCCGUAAGGUUCGUCCACGGAGGGUGAGUUAGGGCCUAAGAUCAGGUCGAAAGGCAUAGUCGAUGGACAACAAGUUAAUAUUCUUAUACUACCCCUUAUUGGUCCCGAGGGACGGAGGAGUCUAGGUUAGACGAAAGAUGGUUAUCGGUUCAAGGACGCAAGGUGACCCUCUAUACAUUGAUUCAAAGGUAAAAGAAGAAUCAAAUAUAGGUGUGUACAAGGUGAGGUUGGGGGUGGAUAUUCCUCAUCAUCUACUCUAGCACACAAAAAUCCAAGAUGGCUUAUCCAAAUAUUAUAGGAUGCAAAAAAUCAUGUAGGAGUGUCGAUAUCAUCAAUGAGGGUGAGUAUACCUCCUAGGAGAUAUGUUAACCAUAUUGUAUUAGAUUCUUCCAUUUGUGAUCUUUACAAUUGUUUUGAGGAG
rfam:Picea glauca, whole genome shotgun sequence.